CUGGUCCCAAGGUCGAGCGGACAGAAGGGAGCUUGCUCCCGGAUGUUAGCGGCGGACGGGUGAGUAACACGUGGGUAACCUGCCUGUAAGACUGGGAUAACUCCGGGAAACCGGAGCUAAUACCGGAUAGUUCCUUGAACCGCAUGGUUCAAGGAUGAAAGACGGUUUCGGCUGUCACUUACAGAUGGACCCGCGGCGCAUUAGCUAGUUGGUGGGGUAAUGGCUCACCAAGGCGACGAUGCGUAGCCGACCUGAGAGGGUGAUCGGCCACACUGGGACUGAGACACGGCCCAGACUCCUACGGGAGGCAGCAGUAGGGAAUCUUCCGCAAUGGACGAAAGUCUGACGGAGCAACGCCGCGUGAGUGAUGAAGGUUUUCGGAUCGUAAAGCUCUGUUGUUAGGGAAGAACAAGUGCGAGAGUAACUGCUCGCACCUUGACGGUACCUAACCAGAAAGCCACGGCUAACUACGUGCCAGCAGCCGCGGUAAUACGUAGGUGGCAAGCGUUGUCCGGAAUUAUUGGGCGUAAAGGGCUCGCAGGCGGUUUCUUAAGUCUGAUGUGAAAGCCCCCGGCUCACCCGGGGAGGGUCAUUGGAAACUGGGAAACUUGAGUGCAGAAGAGGAGAGUGGAAUUCCACGUGUAGCGGUGAAAUGCGUAGAGAUGUGGAGGAACACCAGUGGCGAAGGCGACUCUCUGGUCUGUAACUGACGCUGAGGAGCGAAAGCGUGGGGAGCGAACAGGAUUAUAUACCCUGGUUAGUCCACGCCGUAAACGAUGAGUGCUAAGUGUUAGGGGGUUUCCGCCCCUUAGUGCUGCAGCUAACGCAUUAAGCACUCCGCCUGGGGAGUACGGUCGCAAGACUGAAACUCAAAGGAAUUGACGGGGGCCCCGCACAAGCGGUGGAGCAUGUGUUUAAUCCGAAGCACGC
rnacentral:rRNA from 1 species